rnacentral:rRNA from 1 species
GACGAACGCUGGCGGCGUGCUUAACACAUGCAAGUCGAACGGAAAGGCCCUGCUUUUGUGGGGUGCUCGAGUGGCGAACGGGUGAGUAACACGUGAGUAACCUGCCCUUGACUUUGGGAUAACUUCAGGAAACUGGGGCUAAUACCGGAUAGGAGCUCCUGCUGCAUGGUGGGGGUUGGAAAGUUUCGGCGGUUGGGGAUGGACUCGCGGCUUCUCAGCUUGUUGGUGGGGUAGUGGCUUACCAAGGCUUUGACGGGUAGCCGGCCUGAGAGGGUGACCGGCCACAUUGGGACUGAGAUACGGCCGAGACUCCUACGGGAGGCAGCAGUGGUGAAUAUUGCACAAUGGGCGGAAGCCUGAUGCAGCAACGCCGCGUGCGGGAUGACGGCCUUCGGGCUGUAAACCGCUUUCGCCUGUGACGAAGAGUGAGUGACGGUAAUGGGUAAAGAAGCACCGGCUAACUACGUG